AGGACGAACGCUGGCGGCGUGCUUAACACAUGCAAGUCGAGCGGAAAGGCCCUUCGGGGUACUCGAGCGGCGAACGGGUGAGUAACACGUGAGUAAUCUGCCCCUAGCUCUGGGAUAGCUCCGGGAAACCGGGGUUAAUACCGGAUACGACCACCUUAGACAUCUUUUGUGGUGGAAAGAAUUUCGGCUAGGGAUGAGCUCGCGGCCUAUCAGCUUGUUGGUGGGGUAACGGCCUACCAAGGCGACGACGGGUA
rnacentral:rRNA from 1 species